GUGAGUCAUCGAAUCUUUGAACGCACAUUGCGCCCGCCAGUAUUCUGGCGGGCAUGCCUGUCCGAGCGUCAUUUCAACCCUCAAGCCCCCGGGCUUGGUGUUGGAGACCGGCGAGCCCUCCGGGGCACGCCGCCUCCCAAAUUUAGUGGCGGUCUCGCUGUAGCUUCCUCUGCGUAGUAGCACACCUCGCACUGGGAAACAGCGUGGCCACGCCGUAAAACCCCCCACUUCUGAAAGGUUGACCUCGGAUCAGGUAGGAAUACCCGCUGAACUUAAGCAUAUCAAUAAGCGGAGGA
rnacentral:misc_RNA from 1 species